GACGAACGCUGGCGGCGUGCUUAACACAUGCAAGUCGAACGAAGUGGCGAACGGGUGAGUAACGCGUAAUCAACCUGCCCUUCAGAGGGGGACAACAGUUGGAAACGACUGCUAAUACCGCAUACUGAAGGAGGGGAUUGCGUGGGAUUAGGUAGUUGGGGGGGUAACGGCCCAGCAAGGCGAUCAUAAGUAGCCGGUCUGAGAAGGUGAACGGGCACAUUGGGACUGAUGCACGGCCCCGGAUCCUACGGGAGGCAGCAAUGGGGAAGCUUCCGCAAUGGACGAAAGUCUUACGGGGCAACGCCGCGUGAGUGAUGACGGCCUUCGGGUUGGAAAGCUCUGUUAAUCGGGACGCGGUACCGGAAUAGAAAGCCACGGCUAACUACGUGCCAGCCGCCGCGGUAAUUC
rnacentral:rRNA from 1 species